rnacentral:lncRNA from 1 species
GACAAUUGCAUACAUGCAUUAGGUUGUGUCUAAAUAUUGAGCCCAACUCUAGAAGUGUCUAGGAAAGUCAAGUUUAAACCUUUUCCUCUAUCCUCUCAUAAUCUUUUUCCAAUAUCUCUUGCGUGUCAAUCAAGUCAUUACUCCUAACAUCAAUUCUCUCUUUUCUCUCUCUUCCUCAAAAAGAAAAAUUCUCUGACUCAUCACCUCUCCAAUACUUAUCCGCUGCAAAAGCACUUCAUUCCAAAAUAUCUCAUUCUUCGAGAAAUACAAUAUCUCUUUCCAAAUCCAAGUCGUAAUAAGUGCAUUAAAUGGACAAGACAAAUCACAAUCGACUAUGACUAAUUUUCCACUUUAUUUAAGUCGACUAUACUUUCUUCAUAUUCUCAGCUCAUUCACUCCUCUAGAAAACCUAAUUUGCACUUCUCUCGAAUACUUUCUCCAACUUCUGAGUUCUCAAUCUCUCAAUCUAACAAAUCAAUGAAACCAUCAUCAAAACCUCUAGACCAUCAUCAUCAUCAUCUCCGAUCACCGGACCAAGCUGAAUAUGAAAGUCCAACAACCCUUCCUGCUCUCGUAUUCAUAACUUACUUGCUUUACACAAGUAGUCCUUCCACCUAACCUACAACCUUCACAGUAGGCCCAUACCUUACCCCACCACCACUUUCUUGUGUUUUCCUUCUAUCUCCCCAACUCUUUUCACACAUAUCCCCUCAUGUCUCUCUCUUCCCAUCAUUCUCAUCCUCUUUGUUUCUCCACCACCAUCACCUCCUCAUCCUCCUCCAUCACCAGACCCAUUUGUCCCCUUGUCGUCCUAUUCCCUUAUGACCCUUUUCUUCUCCCUUCUUCCUGCUACCUUCCUUUCCUGUGUUGGGUCGUGAUGUCCUUUCUCUCCUCCCCUUUUUAUGUUUAUCAAAUAAGGGGGAGAAAAGAGAUAAACGCAUAAGCUUUUAGGAGCAUGUACUCAGGGGGAAUACGUUAGACGAUAUGAUAGAAUAGGAUAACACAGAAUCAAGGGGAGUCUCCAGAUUCUUAUAAGUUCAUGCAUAACUUUGUACACAUUCAUGUAACAUGUUUACUUGUUUAAAUAUCAAUCUUUUAUUUAAUUUUUGCUCUGAUUUCAGCUUUCUUUUUUUUUACCAUGUUUAAUUAUUUUGUCUUUAUUUAUUUCAUUUGUUUAGAUCACUUGCAUGCAUAAUACAAAACAAUAAUAGAGAUA